rnacentral:rRNA from 1 species
UGGGAACCUGCCUUGUGGUCUGGGAUAACCGCGGGAAACUGCGGCUAAUACCGGGUAAGCCCUUCGGGGGAAAGAUUUAUCGCCAUGAGAGGGGCCCGCGUCGGAUUAGGUAGUUGGUGGGGUAACGGCUACCAAGCCUGCGAUCCGUAGCUGGUCUGAGAGGAUGAUCAGCCACACUGGGACUGAGAUACGGCCCAGACUCCUACGGGAGCAG